GAUGAAGAACGUAGCGAAAUGCGAUAAGUAAUGUGAAUUGCAGAAUUCCGUGAAUCAUCGAAUCUUUGAACGCACAUUGCGCCCCCUGGUAUUCCGGGGGGCAUGCCUGUCCGAGCGUCAUUGCUGCCCUCAAGCACGGCUUGUGUGUUGGGCCCCGUCCUCCGAUCCCGGGGGACGGGCCCGAAAGGCAGCGGCGGCACCGCGUCCGGUCCUCGAGCGUAUGGGGCUUUGUCACCCGCUCUGUAGGCCCGGCCGGCGCUUGCCGAUCAACCCAAAUUUUUAUCCAGGUUGACCUCGGAUCAGGUAGGGAUACCCGCUGAACUUAAGCAUAUCAAUAAGCGGAGGA
rnacentral:misc_RNA from 1 species